rnacentral:rRNA from 1 species
UNUGAAUGGGCGAAGCUGAUCAUCAAUACGCGUGUGUGAAGAAGGCCUGAGGGUUGUAAAGCACUUUCAAUAGGAAGGAAUACCUAUCGGUUAAUACCCGGUAGACUGACAUUACCUAUACAAGAAGCACCGGCUAACUCCGUGCCAGCAGCCGCGGUAAUACGGAGGGUGCAAGCGUUAAUCGGAAUUACUGGGCGUAAAGCGUGCGUAGGCGGUUAUUUAAGUCAGAUGUGAAAGCCCUGGGCUUAACCUGGGAACUGCAUUUGAUACUGGAUGACUAGAGUUGAGUAGAGGAGAGUGGAAUUUCAGGUGUAGCGGUGAAAUGCGUAGAGAUCUGAAGGAACACCAGUGGCGAAGGCGGCUCUCUGGACUCAAACUGACGCUGAGGUACGAAAGCGUGGGUAGCAAACAGGAUUAGAUACCCUGGUAGUCCACGCCGUAAACGAUGUCAACUAACCGUUGGGUUCUUUAAGAACUUAGUGGUGGAGCUAACGUAUUAAGUUGACCGCCUGGGGAGUACGGCCGCAAGGCUAAAACUCAAAUGAAUUGACGGGGGCCCGCACAAGCGGUGGAGCAUGUGGUUUAAUUCGAUGCAACGCGAAGAACCUUACCUACCCUUGACAUGUAGCGAAUCCUUUAGAGAUAGAGGAGUGCCUUCGGGAACGCUA